rnacentral:rRNA from 1 species
GACGUAGGGCGCGAGCGUUGUCCGGAAUUAUUGGGCGUAAAGAGCUCGUAGGCGGCUUGUCGCGUCGGCUGUGAAAUCCCGUGGCUCAACUGCGGGUCUGCAGCCGAUACGGGCAGGCUAGAGUUCGGUAGGGGAGACUGGAAUUCCUGGUGUAGCGGUGAAAUGCGUAGAUAUCGAGAGGAACACCUGCGGCGAAGGCGGGUUGCUGGGCUGACACUGACGCUGAUGCGCGAAAGCCAGGGGAGCGAACGGG